AAAAAAGAAGACGCUAUCCCAGGUUUCCCUGCCACCGUCCCGCCGAAGGACGUCCCUCGUUCCGCCCGGACGCGACCUCGGCAACAAGCCUCCCGGCGACGCUGAGCCACAGAGGGGAAGCACGUGCCCGAGAUACAGUGUCACCAGUUCCUGAUGUCCAUAUUUAUCACCUUAAAAUGAAGUAAAUAAAGGAUUUCCCAGUCAGAAGGGAUACCAAGAAAACUUAAUUAUCAGUUUUGGAAGGAAUCCUCCAGAUUUGGUGACCCUCGGUGGCGCGUCGGCAGGGGCAACGAAAAAAGCUUGGGUGUUGAUAAAAGCACCUGCAGGUCCACUGACUCUGAGGACCAACACAACCCAGGGGAUUUAAUGGGGGGGCAGUCAGAGGAGACGUUGCUGAUGAUGGGUCCAUUACCGGGGGAAAGUUAUUUUACACAUAUGCCGUACCCUCCUGAGGCCCGGCAAAAGAAAAUGCUUACUCCACCCGGCUGGAUCCCUUCCUUCUGACAUCGAUCAGAGAGUGACGAGAAUCCGUCUUCCUCGUCGCUGGCAACAAAGGCGCAAAAAAAAAAACAGAAGGGAACACUGUUAUUUCAUGCCUUCCUCUGACAGAGUAAGAAAGGGCGGGGCCGACGGGGUAGGCAUACAUGAUACAGACAGGAACCAUGACAGUGGAGACAAUGUCCCAGUUUCAUCUAGCAGGCAGCCUCCUCCACCCCCCACCUCCCAAAAAAAGCCCUGCACACCCCCCUCCCACCCAUCUUAUAUUUUGCAACUUCACAUUUCUCAAUCUCCAUCUACUGCUUUUUUUAAAGUGCAUUUUUUUUUGGACUGGUGGCUGUCAGUCACAGAUGUUUCUACUGGGUACUCUCCAGCUCACCGGUCUUGACAAGUUUGCUGUGUGUCACAGGAUACAGGCUGUGGCCUCUGAGCACAAAGAGAGCGUGCUGUCACUCACGCUGGCAUGCGGCUCACAGGAAACAACUCUCUAAACAGUCAGAUACCGUGACAACGACCGAGGGCGAACCACGCAUUCACCAGAAAGAAUGUUUACAAUCCUUCAUUUUGUUUUUUAUUUCCACAUAUCUGUUAUUCGAUUGAUGUACCUAUUAAUUACUGUGCUGUGACAUUUAAACACAACAAACUAGUUUCUAGUUGCUUUAUCUUUCAGUAGAUAAUUCGAGUACAACUUGCACAAUAAAAGUCCCCGAAAAACGUACAUAUCUAAGGUGAGUGUUACGCACGCACCAAGAUGAUACAUUCCUUGUUUUGCAACGUAGGCUACUGCUGGUUUGAAUCGUAGGCUGUUGCCAGCUGCAAGAUGGAGGACGAAUUCAGCUUGUUGAGAAAUCCCAACCAUCGUUCCCUUUUUAAAACAGAUGUAUUAUUUUGCAGUAGUCUUUGACCAUUCGCGAGUGUGUGGAUCACAGGUGGGAGUCUGUCUCCACCGAAUAAGCCAGUUCACUAAGGACGGGAUUUGGCGCUGUUAUUUUUCUAUUAGGGCAGAAUUAUGCUAAGCCUUUAGAAGCCAUUUCUGUGUUGCUAUGGCAGCCCAUAUUUCCUGCAGGGUUGCGACCUUGAAUGACUACAGUGCAAAGCCAAGUACCACCGGGACCCUUUGAGGAUUAGAAACGUGGGCUCAUAGUUAUGCUAAAUACCCCCAGAUAUGAUUGAACCUUGUAAGACUGAAUGACAAGUUUAUUGAGAUCGCCGCUCUUUUCAUCUGAUCAUUAUUAUGCGAAUUUUCCAAACCACUUGUCAUUCUUAGCUAGUUUUGUAAAGCAGCGUUUCAUUGGUCGUGAAGUCUAAGUUACUUUUUUUGACAAAUGUAUAAUGCCAUGCCGCGUUAUGUUCACUGGUUAAAAUUUUACUUCGUAUUUAGUUUUAUGAUUACAUUUAAAUAUCUCUUCAAUCCAAUCUCCUUUGUACUCAUCUGAUCGACUUCUUAUUGAACUAAAGCUUUUCUCCUUCAUUGGGAUAUUGUUUCGGUCUUUUGUUAUAUGUCUUUGUUAUUAUGUUUUCCCCUUCCAAAAUCAAACAUUCGAAAAAGCGAAAUGCAAUGGAAGUAUGUUAGCUACUAGCUAACAAUUGAACGCUAUCGAACUGAACAUUAUGGCAAAAGAGCAGAUAAACCGCGUAAAGGUAAACAUUGAGCUCAGGCACAAACUCUAAAAACGCGAAAGAAGCAACAAAACAAUGGCAACAUUAAUUGCUGUCGGUAACAACAUGACAAUCGCUCAGUAGGCAUAGGCUACCUUUCAAAAACUCCUCCUGUGUACAAGAAUCAAGAGAUGAUUUUUGCCUGUGCUAUUCUUAAAGGGUGGGGCAGUUUGCCGCGCAAAGAGGAGGUCAAGUAGUCGAUGGUAAGAACCGAAUGAUUCACGAGAUCCCGAUCAGGAUUGUCUUACACGAAUAAGUAAGCACCCAGCUUUUUGGUAUCUCCAAUAUUUUUAAAAAUAAUUUUUAUAAUUCAUAAUAACACAAACUAUAAUAUAAAAUAAAC